CUGGGUGCGCCAGUCGCUGAAAAUUUUACACUAAGCGACAGCUUUCACAGGGUAUCUCGAGUCCCAUUUGCUUAGGAAGGCUUUUUCCCAUGUGCAGAAUAGCGGGCGAAUAAGGAGAGGGCAAUUCGGGUAUCACUCGCCGCGGUAAUAAUCACGUCUCGGAGCGGUGCGGAUGUUUCUUGGCCGUAAAGUAUCUGUAGGUGGGUAGCUUAGUCCCCUGUUAAUAUCCUCAAGAGAUUAAUAGUUUUCUGCCGGGGACAUUAAUUGCCUAUCGGCUGUGAGAGUCAGGAGGUAUUUAGUGUGUAGGGGAAAAAUCCCAUAAUACCUGGAAGAUCUCCCAUGGGGAAGGUUGUGUCGUAGAACGAGCCUUUCGGUGAGGGAAGAAAGGUUGGGGAUCGAACCGGAUUAGAUACCCGGGUAGUUCCAGCCGUUAAUGAUGCAGCCUUGGUGUUUGGUCGGUCUUAGUGCCCUUCUACUGCCACAGGGAAGCGAUGAACUUUGACGUCCUCGGGAGUGCGGUCGCAAGCGUGAAACAUAAAGG
rnacentral:rRNA from 1 species